rnacentral:rRNA from 1 species
UACAGAGGUGGCAAGCGUUGUUCGGAAUUACUGGGCGUAAAGGGCGCGUAGGCGGCCUUCUAAGUCAGACGUGAAAUCCCCCGGCUUAACCUGGGAACUGCGUCUGAUACUGGGAGGCUUGAGUCCGGAAGAGGUGAGUGGAACUCCUAGUGUAGAGGUGGAAUUCGUAGAUAUUAGGAAGAACACCAGUGGCGAAGGCGGCUCACUGGUCCGGUACUGACGCUGAGGCGCGAAAGCGUGGGGAGCAAACAGG